rnacentral:sRNA from 1 species
CCUUCCUCUGUCAGAAUGGCCACCAUGGUACCAUCCGUGUUGUGGCCCAGGGCCUGCUGGACUCUGCUGGUCUGCUGUCUGCUGACCCCAGGUGUCCAGGGGCAGGAGUUCCUUUUGCGGGUGGAGCCCCAGAACCCUGUGCUCUCUGCUGGAGGGUCCCUGUUUGUGAACUGCAGUACUGAUUGUCCCAGCUCUGAGAAAAUCGCCUUGGAGACGUCCCUAUCAAAGGAGCUGGUGGCCAGUGGCAUGGGCUGGGCAGCCUUCAAUCUCAGCAACGUGACUGGCAACAGUCGGAUCCUCUGCUCAGUGUACUGCAAUGGCUCCCAGAUAACAGGCUCCUCUAACAUCACCGUGUACAGGCUCCCGGAGCGUGUGGAGCUGGCACCCCUGCCUCCUUGGCAGCAGGUGGGUCAGAACUUCACCCUGCGCUGCCAAGUGGAGGGUGGGUCGCCCCGGACCAGCCUCACGGUGGUGCUGCUUCGCUGGGAGGAGGAGCUGAGCCGGCAGCCCGCAGUGGAGGAGCCAGCGGAGGUCACUGCCACUGUGCUGGCCAGCAGAGACGACCACGGAGCCCCUUUCUCAUGCCGCACAGAACUGGACAUGCAGCCCCAGGGGCUGGGACUGUUCGUGAACACCUCAGCCCCCCGCCAGCUCCGAACCUUUGGUGAGAGAAGGGGCUUCAGACGGUGGGUGACGAGCUGAGCCAGGGUAAACGGUGCCCUGACCUUGGGGUUCCUGAGAGUGGGGUACCCUGGACCUCACAGGCUUCUGGGAAGGAAAGCCCCCGGCCACUGGGCAAGGUGGCCCCGGAAGGGAGGCCCGAGCCGUGGGAUCUUUGAAGAAGGCCGUUUUCAUGGCCCUGUGUGUGUGUCCUGCGAAGAAGGGUGACCCAGUCAGCAAGAUAUCCUGACUGGGGGGGAUGAGGGUGUCCUGGGGAAGGCACAAUCCUGGGGGUUGUACUAUGCCCACCUUUCUCCCCAGUCCUGCCCGUGACCCCCCCGCGCCUCGUGGCCCCCCGGUUCUUGGAGGUGGAAACGUCGUGGCCGGUGGACUGCACCCUAGACGGGCUUUUUCCAGCCUCAGAGGCCCAGGUCUACCUGGCGCUGGGGGACCAGAUGCUGAAUGCGACAGUCAUGAACCACGGGGACACGCUAACGGCCACAGCCACAGCCACGGCGCGCGCGGAUCAGGAGGGUGCCCGGGAGAUCGUCUGCAACGUGACCCUAGGGGGCGAGAGACGGGAGGCCCGGGAGAACUUGACGGUCUUUAGCUUCCUAGGACCCACUGUGAACCUCAGCGAGCCCACCGCCCCUGAGGGGUCCACAGUGACCGUGAGUUGCAUGGCUGGGGCUCGAGUCCAGGUCACGCUGGACGGAGUUCCGGCCGCGGCCCCGGGGCAGCCAGCUCAACUUCAGCUAAAUGCUACCGAGAGUGACGACAGACGCAGCUUCUUCUGCAGUGCCACUCUCGAGGUGGACGGCGAGUUCUUGCACAGGAACAGUAGCGUCCAGCUGCGAGUCCUGUAUGGUCCCAAAAUUGACCGAGCCACAUGCCCCCAGCACUUGAAAUGGAAAGAUAAAACGACACACGUCCUGCAGUGCCAAGCCAGGGGCAACCCGUACCCCGAGCUGCGGUGUUUGAAGGAAGGCUCCAGCCGGGAGGUGCCGGUGGGGAUCCCGUUCUUCGUCAACGUAACACAUAAUGGUACUUAUCAGUGCCAAGCGUCCAGCUCACGAGGCAAAUACACCCUGGUCGUGGUGAUGGACAUUGAGGCUGGGAGCUCCCACUUUGUCCCCGUCUUCGUGGCGGUGUUACUGACCCUGGGCGUGGUGACUAUCGUACUGGCCUUAAUGUACGUCUUCAGGGAGCACAAACGGAGCGGCAGUUACCAUGUUAGGGAGGAGAGCACCUAUCUGCCCCUCACGUCUAUGCAGCCGACACAAGCAAUGGGGGAAGAACCGUCCAGAGCUGAGUGACGCUGGGAUCCGGGAUCAAAGUUGGCGGGGGCUUGGCUGUGCCCUCAGAUUCCGCACCAAUAAAGCCUUCAAACUCCCUAA